GGGAGGCUUUGGACCAAGUCGGUACAUGCAUGCGGGGUGGGGCUGGAAAGAUAGAUUGGCCUAUGGGAACUUAGAAGAAGAAAGCGGGGGAGAAAGAUGUUAGUGGAGGGAAGGUGGGGAAACACAUUGGAGAAACAGUACCGAAAGUGGGUUUCUUGAGGCAGGAAGAGCUGUUGAAAUAGAAGAACUCCUCUGUUGCAUUUAGAGCAAAGGGACAUUUGUGAGCUGUGUGGGAAGCCCAUGUGUGUUCAUCCCCUAUUGUCAUGCUUCCAACUUUCAUUUCUUUUUUUUUUCCUCUCCAAUACAUGUGAAAUGAUUGUGGCUUAGAAUGAUACUGUUUUGGUAACCUUAGGGCUAUACUUAAUGUCUGAGUUUAGGGCUUAACCAAACAUAGCUUACCUGGAAACUGUUCUUUAUUUAUCAGCAUUCAGAAUAGAAGCUGAGUCACAGCAGUGACACUGACACAUCUGGUUUCUGUCUCAUACUUCCUUAUUUCCUGGCUGUUGGUGAUCUUCACUUUUGCUUGUUGGGAACUUGAAAUACACCGUCUCAAUAACCAUUCACCCUGCUUACGAAUGAUGCCCUCAGACAGGGCCUUCACUGCUUCUCCUCCCAGACAGCAAUGGCUUUGUUUUAAUGACUGUUUUUCAACAUUGAACUAUAUAGCAUUUACUCAAUUAACUGUCAGCAAAAUAAUGUCACCUGCUUAAUUUCAAACACUGGCAAGUAACUUGGAUUUUCAUCUGUCUGUAAACUGGAUUUCAUUUGUGUUUAAAAGGAAGCCAGGGAAAGAACCCAUAUGUUUUUUGGGAAAGGCCUUUAUUCCUUAUUUUUCUAGCUUAGUAAUCAAUUAUAAUCUAUUCACUCCAUCUCCAUGUCCCAUACCCUGUUCACAGGUGAGGGUGGGGAGUACCACCAUCUUAGAGGUGAAGCUGGAAAAACGUGGUGAGAUGGAUUCAUACUGUACAAGAUGUGAGGAAUAUCCUUUUUAUCACAAGAAAGACUAUGAGAAUCCACCAAUGGAGGAGUGGCUAUUCACAAAGGCCGCUGAUUUUGCUGUCUCCAUGUACCCAGGAGAGGUCACCCACCCAGCCUGGGGUUUCUGUUAGUCUUUCAGGGCUGGGUGUUUAUUCAAGUCCUUAAGCCAUCUGGAACUGUGGGCUGGACUUGGACAUCCUCUUCCUUGGAGCUCUUCCCCCUUUUCCCUUCCAAGAUGGACAGGUAAGUGAGGAACCAUUUUCACUCCUAGUGGAGCUGAGACAUUUACUCUCUGAUGAAAACAAGGUGUCAGUAGGGAAUCAGAUGAGAACCAGGACGAGGUCUAAGAGUUUUGUUAAUUUAUUCUAGUGAAGUUUUUCUUCCAAAUGUUCUAAUGGGGAUAGAGCUUAUUAGUCUAGGACAAGACAUUGGAGACUGGAUUCACAACCUGGCUCUACCACUUACCAUUUUAUGAGAUGAAGUUCCUUAAUCAUUUUGAUACCCAAAUCUUUUCUUUUGAACUUCAAAAUAUGCACAGUUCCAUCUACUUCAGUAAAUUUGAUGCUUGAUGCUUUUAGUGGAAGAUUCAGUAAACAUUAUUACUGUUUCGAUCUGAUGGGAUUCUGGGAGAGAGACACCUGGUUAAGUUCACACCCGUGAUUAUCAUUUUUACUGAGAGAACCAUGCCAUGGAACUCAAGAUGCUCCUACUGACAUGUGUGACUAUCUCCAUAUCCACAAGUAGAACUAAUGUGAUCAGGCCUCCCUGCCUUUCUAGAUUCUGGUAUGUAUCAAAGUAUGUAAGCGAUGUCUUGAAAAAUAAAUUUAUACUAUGAAGAUAUGACA
rnacentral:lncRNA from 1 species